ensembl:lncRNA
AAACAUUCAGACAAGUAAACAUUUUGAUGUUAUGAUAAAGCAUCAUCUGUUGGAUCCAUUGGGGUUGACACCUGUACAGGUCCAGCCCAAUCCCUUUUGUGUUCCUGGUAGGAUCUGGUCCACCUCGGCUCAAAAUCAAGUUGGGUGUUUUUUAUUUAUUUUACAGAUUGUGUCAUAACUUCCUAAGAAUUAGAUGGAUCCAUGCAGUGGAUCCUAACAACAGGACGAUACUGGGCAACUUUUAUCACCCAUCAGGUUUCCCGCUCAUCAGCUACAGCAUAAUCAAUGCUUGAAUCUAGAUUGUGGUGGUUCACUAAACUGCUGCACCACUUUGGAGGCCUUGCCCAUCAUUGUGGCUUGCGAUAGAAAAAAUAUGUGCCCUAGGAUUUACCAUUGCAUUAGGUUCGUUAAAUAAUAAACCAUUGUGUCAUUUUCAUCUAAUUAAUUCUCUGUUCACUGUGUUAAACUAAAACUGAGGUGUAACAAUCCUGUUAUUAAGUAACAUGUCUUACUAUUCAAAAGCUGGUUUCAGCUCAGAGAUAUCUGAAUAAACAAUGUUAUUAUUUAACCCUUUGGAGACAAUCAGUAAUUCUGAUAAUGUAUUUCUUAAGUUAGAUACUGUGUUCUUGAAUCUCCAAAAGCAGACACUUGUACUGACAGAGUACCCAAAGUAUGUGAAUUUCCUUUUAAGAUGUAUCAGAAAUGCGGGGCUGGCAAGUUGAUUUGUAGUGCUUUUUUCCAAUUUGCAUAUCAUUUACUGCAUCUCCUUUUGUUGACACCCCAGGGCACAAACCAAGAUUUUGAUCUUAAUAGGAAGAGUAGGGUGGUAUGACUGAAGAUCCCUUCCAACUCAGCGGGGAAAACAUUAGAGCUCUGCCUAGAUAGCAGGACCAGCCACAGUGAUAGAUACUUAAAGGGGAUAAUAUUGGCUGAACACAUUUCAAGGACCAAUGAAAUCUACUUUGUUCCUCCAACGUCAAAGGUCAAAUAUUUUUUUUAUUCAAUGGGUGAACCUCUAUAACCAGAGAUUAUGACUUAGAUGCUAUAUGAGAUAACUUUGAAAUGCUAUUUUCAGAAGCUUUGGCUGAAGAAAAUUUAACUGCCGGAUUGUACAGAAUGUACUAAGAGACUUAACGUCUGGUUUCUAAAUAUAUCGACAUUAACAUAACAAGAGUUAUCGAACCUUAAAAAAAAAUUGACAUUGUAUUACAGUGUCCUUUAAACACUGGGCUGUGCGGAAUUCGUAUGGACUUUUUUAUCCUGGUCUCAGUAUAAUGUGGUGUUGAGUUAGUUCAAAAGCACUUCACCUCCGGUUGUACAGUGUCAGAUCCAGCAGUAAUUAGAAUACUGGUUGUGCAUUAUUCCCUUACUGGGGAUAUUUGGUUCCUCUGAAGAGUCGGCUGAAAUAGGUCACCACAGCACCCUGUAGUGCGUCUUAAAAGUACACUGAAUCAAUUAAGUGUGAUCAUGCUCCCUUGAUUAUUUCGGCCCUGUUUUACCAUGGAGAGGAAUUUCAAAUAGGCUUACUCGUUUUAAUAACAAGGUUGGACUGUGGUGACAUAUGGUGCUGUAAGUGGGUGUUUCUCUCCUUCUUCCUCUCUGCCAAAUUAAGUCCCUGGCUGAUUGCCUGCCUGGGCGUAUGAGAGGAGGUGAUCUGUGUAUAGAACAACCUUGGGUACUCGAUUAUGUAGUGUGGCACUAACGCAGCCUCUCCUGUAUCAGCAUCAGGCCAACGGCCAAGGGAGAACCACCUGGCCCAGGACUGUGAAUCAGGGACCUUGAACGCAGCCCAGCUGCCACACCUUCCCUCAAUCAGGCCUCAUCAAGUGGAGGACAAAAGGGCCCCAGAAAAGCAGCUCUAAGCCACAGCAGAGGAAGAAGCCCCGCCCCACGGUUUUGUUAUUCAUCCCUGCCAUUUUUUGUAAUUAAAAGGACCUCCUGGACCCUGGGAGACUCUCCUUGUGUCUCCCCACCUUUACAGCAUCAAAUGAUUGCCUUUGAACCUGACCUCAACCAAAAAGAAAUGUACAUUUUGAUGGUCAGACUUGUAUUGCACUGUAUAUUGUAUUUAUCAGUUUUAUUAUUUAUUUUUCUGUAAGAUUUUAUGAGUUAAAAGUAAUUAUUUUCAGCAGCAACAUGAUUUGUUCGAACAAUGCUUUUGCUUUUCCACUAACAUACUACUCAAGCUACAUUGUUUAGCUUAUGUCAUCUUUGUUGGAAAUGCUUCAAUUGCAAUAGUUUUUAUAUCCAUGUAAAACUUUCUAUGCAGUAAAAUGUAGAAUAGCAGUUUAUUGUAACAUUGUAAUUCACUCCUUGUGGAAUCAGAGUUGUAGCCAGUAAUAUGCAGGUUGGCAUUUUUCUUGGCAGACUCACUGAAUACUGCUUUUACCAUUUCCCUGUUUUCACUAUUAUUCUUUGUGUCAACAUUUUGUACCAUUCUAAUGAAGCAAGUAAAAUACAUAAAGCAUAGUCACAACAAAAA